rnacentral:rRNA from 1 species
CCCUUAGAUGUUCUGGGCCGCACGCGCGCUACACUGACGAAUGCAACGAGCUUAUAACCUUGGCCGAAAGGUCUGGGUAAUCUCCAAAUUUCGUCGUGAUGGGGAUAGAUUAUUGCAAUUAUUAAUCUUCAACGAGGAAUUCCUAGUAAACGCAAGUCAUCAGCUUGCAUUGAUUACGUCCCUGCCCUUUGUACACACCGCCCGUCGCACCUACCGAUUGAAUGGUCCGGUGAAAUCUUCGGAUCUGAGAGAUGUCUGAUUAAUUUCGGACGCCUUUUGGAAAAGUUGCUUAAACCUUACCAUUUAGAGGAAGGUGAAGUCGUAACA